rnacentral:rRNA from 1 species
UACGAAGGGGGCUAGCGUUGUUCGGAAUCACUGGGCGUAAAGGGCGCGUAGGCGGCCGAUCAAGUCGGGGGUGAAAGCCUGUGGCUCAACCACAGAAUUGCCUUCGAUACUGUUUGGCUUGAGACCGGAAGAGGUAAGUGGAACUGCGAGUGUAGAGGUGAAAUUCGUAGAUAUUCGCAAGAACACCGGUGGCGAAGGCGGCAUCCUGGACCGGCAUUGACGCUGAGGCGCGAAAGCCAGGGGAGCAAACGGG